GGACCCGUAGCUCAGCUGGAUAGAGCGCUGCCCUCCGAAGGCAGAGGUCGUGAGUUCGAAUCUCGCCGGGUCCGCCA
rnacentral:tRNA from 18 species